GAAGGAAAAGAGCCUUACGAGGCAAAUCAUCACAGAAUCUGGAAAUACAAGCCUGAGCGGUCUAAAGGGUUUCGCCAUUUGAAUCCAAUCAACGGCAGGACUUCGCGAUAGAAAUAAGGACGCAACAAAGCAACAGGAACGAUCAAGGUCACCAAACUGACCGUCAUUUCCGAACUAACAAUUGUUCUUUGUCUGAAAAGUUGAAACAGGUAUAAUCCAAGACAACCGUGCAAGAAGCAGGUGUCGCCCAAAGAAGAAAGUACAUGGGUACAAGAAAUAUUUUGGCAAUAAGGAAUUCACUCGAAAGGUAAGUUUCCACGAAACCCCCUUUUAUCUUCUACUAAAACAAGAAAAUUCAAAAAAGAGGUCGCUUAGUAUUCUCGAAUUUUGUCCCCAGCCAAUCAGCAUUAGGGUUUUAAACCCUAAACUGAACCUUUUUUCCUUUCAGCCAGCAUUAGGGUUUUAAACCCUAAACUGAGCUUUUCCAUGCAAUCAGCAUUAGGGUUUUAAACCCUAAACUGAAUUUUUCCUUUAGUCAGCAUUAGGGUUUUAAACCCUAAACUGGAUUUUUUUCCUUUCAGCCAGCAUUAGGGUUUUAAACCCUAAACUGAGCUUUUCCAUGCAAUCAACGUUAGGGUUUUAAACCCUAAACUGAACCUUUUUUCCUUUCAGCCAGCAUUAGGGUUUUAAACCCUAAACUAAAUUUUUCCAUGCAAUCAGCAUUAGGGUUUUAAACCCUAAACUGAAUUUUUCCUUUAGUCAGCAUUAGGGUUUUAAACCCUAAACUGAACUUUUUUCCUUUCAGCCAGCAUUAGGGUUUUAAACCCUAAACUGAGCUUUUCCAUGCAAUCAGCGUUAGGGUUUUAAACCCUAAACUGAAUUUUUUUCCAUUCAGCCAACAUUAUGGUUUUAAACCCUAAACUGAGCUUUUCCAUGCAAUCAGCAUUAGGGUUUUAAACCCCAAACUGAAUUUUUCCUUUAGUCAGCAUUAGGGUUUUAAACCCUAAACUGAACUUCUCCCCAGCUAGUCGGUAUUAGGGCUCCAACCCUGAACUGAGCAUUUUUAUCUUCCUUCAUCAAUUUUAUGAACUUCCUGGCGAAUAAUUCACAAAAUUUUUCCUAGUGAAACUGGGGCAGAAAAUUUCGUUCGUUUGUUUGUUUUCUCCCGCAGGUCUAACCUCGAGCCACCCGAUUCGAAAUGACCCACGAGAUGAGUCUCAACUCAGAAUCAAAGAAGAAAAAAGACAAAAAGAAGAUGUCCCGAGAAUAUCAGAGUAAAUGGAAGGCGGAUCGACUCCAACAUUUGACUAAGGUCCUGAACUCUGCCAGUCGCGUUUCACUCAGUAUCCCAAAGAUUGAACAAGUCACCGCAACUCGCAAGCAUCAAGAUUCGGAUCAAAGUCUCCAAGCACAAUCAGCUAAGACCCAAGAUCAAGUCGCAAAAGAAUCAUAGAUAGGAAUCUUGUAACUCGCAGUUGACAUGCAUAUAAGU
rnacentral:lncRNA from 1 species